rnacentral:rRNA from 1 species
UAACGAAUCUUCCGCAAUGCACGAAAGUGUGACGGAGCGACGCCGCGUGUGGGACGAAGUCCUUCGGGAUGUAAACCACUGUCAAGAGAAAGAAAGUUCUGAUCUACUCUAAAGGAAGGGGCGACUAACUCUGUGCCAGCAGUCGCGGUAAUACAGAGGCCCCAAGCGUUAGGCGGAAUCACUGGGCUUAAAGCGUGUGUAGGCGGGUUGGUAAGUACCUUGUGAAAUCCCACGGCUUAACCGUGGAAUUGCUUGGUAUACUGCCGAUCUUGAGUCAUUUAGGGGCAGCCGGAACAGAUGGUGGAGCGGUGAAAUGCGUAGAUAUCAUCUGGAACGCCAAUGGUGCAGACAGGCUGCUGGGAAUGAACUGACGCUGAGGCACGAAAGCUAGGGGAGCAAA